GAUGAACGCUGGCGGCGUGCCUAAUACAUGCAAGUCGGGCGAACAGAUGAGGAGCUUGCUCCUCUGACGUUAGCGGCGGACGGGUGAGUAACACGUGGAUAACCUACCUAUAAGACUGGGAUAACUACGGGAAACCGGAGCUAAUACCGGAUAAUAUAUUGAACCGCAUGGUUCAAUAGUGAAAGACGGUUUUGCUGUCACUUAUAGAUGGAUCCGCGCCGCAUUAGCUAGUUGGUAAGGUAACGGCUUACCAAGGCAACGAUGCGUAGCCGACCUGAGAGGGUGAUCGGCCACACGGGAACUGAGACACGGUCCAGACUCCUACGGGAGGCAGCAGUAGGGAAUCUUCCGCAAUGGGCGAAAGCCUGACGGAGCAACGCCGCGUGAGUGAUGAAGGUCUUCGGAUCGUAAAACUCUGUUAUUAGGGAAGAACAAAUGUGUAAGUAACUAUGCACGUCUUGACGGUACCUAAUCAGAAAGCCACGGCUAACUACGUG
rnacentral:rRNA from 1 species